UGCUUUCAUGCCUGUAACUUGUGCACAUUACUUCAAAGCAACUCUCACAUUUUAACCCACUUUAAGAGCGGAACCCGUCUAGGUAUCUCUGCCAGACUUCAAGAGCUUUAACCAUCACGAGUGAGCGAGCGAGGUGCUGUUUUCAUUGAAGUUGGAUCUAUCAUUCAAUUAAAACUAUUUUUGCUCUGAAGGAGGUUUAUUAUUCACGACCCACUCUGUGUCCAGCUUAGGCAUGGAUCGACUGUGCAGUAUAAUAGUUGUUCUUUUACUCACAAACCAUAACAGGACCUUUGAUCAGUAGUACAAGUCAAGAGGAAUUUAAAGUCUAUUCGGAACCCAAGCACAUCCAAGUUUGUGAAGGAGACUCAGUCACAUUCAACUGUUUUUUUCAGCCAGGUGGAAAACAUAAGGUGAGCUGGUACUAUAGCCAGACACCUAAUUUAGGCUGUGACUCUCUAACUGACAAGAUACCUGAAGAACAGCAUUUUUAUACACAAAAGAAUGACAUUUGUGCAACACUCAACAUUAAUUCCAUCAAGACCAAUGAGAGCGGAUGGUACUUCUGCAAGGUUACAAAAGAUAUUCCUUUUCUCGAAAACAAAUGCAGUGAUGGCAUACAAGUUCUGGUUGAUACCAACAGCACCCAGGAAUAUCCAAAACAGACACAGACUCUGACGCAAAAUCUAACUACACAAGAUUCACCCACAACUUGCUUGAUCAGUGCCACAACAAUCCCCACAACAUCCUCCACACCACCGUACAGCAUUGCUCAGUGGCGGAUAUGGCUAGCGUUGGCAGUUGGAUGUGUAGUACUAGUUGUGUUAAUCGUUGUCAUAUGCAUCUUGACUCGCAAACCUAAAGAGAUCAUCUAUGAGAACACUAAACCAGUGGAAUCGAGCUGCUGGAGGCAAAACCGGACUAAGAUGGAAAUCUGCGACCUGCCUAAGUCCCAAAAAACUGACACCAUUAAACCGCUGAGGAAGUAUGACACUCUUUCAAGCAACAGAAUCCACCGGCCAUAACUAUUCCAUAUGAAAGAAUUAUCCCCUGAAAACACAUUAAAUAUCUUAUAUUAAAUGUCUUACCAUGGAAACAUAUUUAAUUUUGUAAUGUAGCACUGUAAUGUAGCAUGGGUAGAUGUAAAUAUAAAGCUGUUUUUUUUUGUCAGAAAGAGAUACAUGAGAAAACCUGAUUUUUUUUACUUUAAUGACUUUCAGUUGUAUCAUACUGAAACAUUCUGUGGUUACAAAAAACGUGAAAACAACAAAAAGAAAAAUCUGCCAC
rnacentral:lncRNA from 1 species